CUAGCAGAGGCUGUUGCUGUCUAGUAAUGUGCACGCCUUUUGUGGAAAAAUAAACCCUUAGCAGCAACUUGUUUCGAUCAAGUGACCUCAGGGUUAUGGGCCCUGCGCGCUUCCACUGCGCCAUGCUGCUGUGUGGGGACUUAUUUCUUCUCCCUGUGCACCACUUGUAGACUUUGUCUGUCUAUGAAUCACAUAACCUUUAUGAAUGUAUCUUUGUGGCCCAUUAAUAUAUAUAUACAACUUUCAACAAUGGAUCUCUUGGCUCUCGCAUCGAUGAAGAACGCAGCGAAAUGCGAUAAGUAAUGUGAAUUGCAGAAUUCAGUGAAUCAUCGAAUCUUUGAACGCAUCUUGCGCUCUUUGGUAUUCCGAAGAGCAUGCCUGUUUGAGUGUCAUUAAUCUCUCAAAACUUCAUUUUUAUGAAGUAAUUUGGAUAUUGGGAGUCAUUGCUGAUGGCUGUUGAAGCUCAGCUUUCCUUAAAUUCCUUGAGGACGAAAUGUUGGUGUGUGAUAAUAAUUGUCUAUACCAAACAAGUCCUUUUGCUAUCUUAAUGAUGACCUCAAAUCAAGCA
rnacentral:rRNA from 1 species